rnacentral:lncRNA from 1 species
GGAGAAUCCAACAUCAAUCAGUUGGCCCUGGAAGUAGUACUAGGAAGAAGACCAUAAAAUGGAAUUUUGGAGUUGGACCAGCCAUCUGACUACAAGGAUUCCAUCACUAGUGGUGAGUGGAGUAUAGAUAACUCUUGCCAUGCUGUAGCAAGUUAGUCAUUAAAGUUUUUGACAGUGGUAAAUUGAACUUGCAAUCAUAUACUGGUGGAAGGAAAUUUGCUAGUGGGUGCAAUGUCUCAGGUGUUUGAGAGGUUUGAAGAAAAUUGUAAUUCUAAAAUUAAAAAAAAAAUGGAGUUUUAAGUGUGGUGGCCUUGGAUGUCUGUUGGGGGAAAUGUAUACAUUGAAUGAAACCAAUGGAAGAUGGAGAGUUAUCACCAAUUAUAAGCUAAGUGUGAAAGCCAGAGAGCCUACUGGCAACAUAAAAAACUCCCAUCUCCUCUGGUUAAACACAGGAGCAACUGAGGUCAUCCCAGGGUUUAACUAUAUGAGUAGCAAAUCUUCUGAGGAAGCUGAAUACUCCAUAUUUGCAACCCUUCUAUAUCAAGGUGAGAAAUGGGGCAAAGACUUCUGAGUUUAUAUGUCAAAUUCUUGAAUUCUUAGAUUCCAUGAAUUCUCUGGGUCUGUAGAAGUAUCCUACCCAUGUCAGUUAGAGGUUACUGCUUAAAGAUGUUUCAGAGAUCUCUGCUUCAUAAUAGAGUAUACAUGUAUAGAGUAUACAUAAUAGAGUAAACAUUUUUCUGUAUUUACCCUAACAUUCCCACUUGCCUGUAGACAAUUACAUAGGAUCAAAUCAUAACAAUAAAUAAGGCAGGGUGUUGCACCUGGUAAAAGGGGAACAGAACUGUGAACACUGGAGAUUAUUAAUAGAUAUGUUACUUCAAAGAAAAUGGGGAGCCAGUAGGGUAUUGCUUAUAUACAUUUUCUAAAAAAAAAAAUUGAAGGUGAAGGGCACCAGCCAUAAAUAAAGUAUAUCCCUUGUACUAUUUCUAUAAUUGAGUCUGUUUUCAACUGGAAUCAUUAUUGACUAACGAAAACAUCCUAGGAAGUAAGACUUGUAACAAUAUAGCAAAUAAAUACAGUAACAAAUACUACAGUUCUUCCCUCUAAGGUAACUGUGGUCAUUGUACAGUGAAAAGGGGGUAUUGCCCAAAUAUUUUUGAAGACUGUUGUACAUAGAGUAUCAGUUGAUCUUGAUAGUCAGGCUACCUGUUAGACUGGGAGUGUAUGAGGUCUAAGAAGAGACAAACUUUAUAGUUGGUAAUGCCAUGGAUAAGAGUUAUCACAAGCAAGGUCAAAAAGAAGUUUCUGAAUUGUUUCCUCAAAACUCUACCAAGAUAGUAAAAGAAAAACAAUAUCACAACCUGGAAAAAGGGCAGAUGUUAGUGACACUAUUAAAAUAUCAAAGAUGUAUGAAUGUUGUCACAAUAUUUCCUGUCUAGUUCAUCUCCAUAGUUUCUAUGGAAACACAGGUGCAAUUUAGAAGAUGACAGUAGACUUCUGUAUACUCGAUCAAGAAGUAACAACAAUUGAAGCUGGUAUGCCAAGUAUGUUCUUUUUGUUAGAAAUAUUAACAUGACCUCUAGCACAUGGUAUAGUACCACUGGCUUUGAGCAUAUACUCUUUUUCUAUCUCAUCAAGAAGGAGAACCAUGAGUAUAUUGAAUUCUUAAAGGUGGACAAGAGUAUAUAUGUAUCAUCUUACUCCAUAUCUGGUGCUAUCAAAAUUUAAUUAGAAGAGACUCAGAACAUUUAUACAUGUCACCUAAUAUAAAAUUGUACUACCAUAUUGAGAGCAUUAUGCUAAUUGACAAGAUGAACAAAAAGUGGCAAGCACAUUAAUGUCCUUCAAGGAUUGGAGAUAAACCCUCAAAAUAUUAAUAGAUCUGAUUAUCAACAAUAUUAUUAGAGUUCCAGAAAAUGCAAGGAUGUCCUUUCCAAAGUAAAUCACACAUAUUGUAUUUCAUUCUACUACCAUUAGAAGACAAAUAUAGUGCUUGGCACACUUUGAACACUGGAGGCAUCUUAUUCCACAUUUUUGAUUAAUGUUCCAACAUACUUACUGGGUAACACAGAAGCCCGCUACCUUUAAGGAAUAUGCUCUUCAGGAGAAGAAGAUUAACAUUUAACAGGGAUGAGAGGUGGGAGGGAAAGGGAGAGAGAAGGGAAAUUGCACGGUAAUGGAAGGAGACCCUCAGGGUUAUACAGUGGAGGGGGUAGAGAGAGAGGAGGGGAGGGGAGGGGAGAGGUGGGGAGGGGGGAGGGUAGAGGAUGGGAAAGGCAGCGGAGCACAACAGACACUAGUAUGGCAAUUUGUAAAUCAAUGGAGGUGUAACUGAUGUGAUUCUGCAAUCUGUGUAUGGGGUGAAGGUGGGAGUUCAUAACCCACUUGAAUCAAAGUGUGGAAUAUGAUAAGUCAAGAAAUUUGUAAUGUUUUGAACAACCCACAAUAAAAAAUUAAAAUAAAUAAAUAAAUAAAUAAAUAAAGAGAGAAAAAAAAAAAAAAAAAGGAAUAUGCUCUUGUCAAUCCAGACUGCAAUUCAAAUAGAUGUGCCAUGUGGACUAUGUAAUACUCUAAGAUAUUAUAGGUAUUGGGGAUUGGUAACCCCCUUUUUAUGCUGAGAAUGUUUGCAACACAGAGCUGCAGAGAUUGGGAAAUAGUGAUGCCAUCAGCAGAAUGGAAUUAUACACAUUCAAAUUAACUCCUCAUGCACUACUGUGCUACAGAUUAUUAGUAAUCAUGGAUAAUAUAGUAAUGAAACAUCAAGUGUUCCUGGGUCCAUUGCAAGAUAGAAUCUAGAAAACUUUAUGAAUCAAAGGGGUUUUGAAGGUCCAGUCACAAACCAUCAUAAGAUGCAAGUGGAUUAUCUGGAAUGAAAUAGGCUAUGAGUAGAGCCUACAAGUUAUAAAGCUUGAAGAGUUUGCUUAUUAUCCCAUGCUGUCUAUCACUGUUUUGUUGGUACCUUUUCCUUAGCUCACACCUAUGGCUACAUGAAGCCUCCUUGCCUCUUAUGACCAGGUGAUGAAUGAAUAAAAACAUUACAUGUUUCAUUUGUGAGUUUGCCUGACAUGUGGACACAAGUGUACCAGAGACCCACCAAUGGGCAAAUUCUUCUAUGAAAGUUCUUUUUUGUUAGUCUAACACUUUGUGUGGAAAGAUAAGUAGCCCAUGCUAAGAAUACAUAUGGGUUUGUAGAGAGGUCAAAUGGCUCAACUCAUUGGGUAGGUGGCUUGAAAGGAGAAAGAAAGCAUGAUUUAGAAUAGCCUCUAAAGAAGAGGCAUAUAUUAUUAAUUGAAUUCUUGGAAGUGGGCAUAAAAUGUAGAAAUUCUUGCACUGCAUGUUAAUUUCUACCAGAGACGUUCACUAUGAAAAACCUACUAAACAACCAAAUAAAUAGCAUUACUCAUCCAGUUGACAUCUUGAACAAGUCAUCCUCUAUGCUAGAGUUGGCUAAAUGAGUUUAUGAUCUGAGUAUUCUUGGUGAAGAGGAUGAAGCACCAACCUGUAAGUACUUAGCAAGACUUAUCUAGUUGAUGUUGCUAUUUAAAGUCUAACACAUCAGCGAUAUAAAUCAAUGACAAGUCCCUGACAUGUCACCAGUUGUUGAAGAGACCAACCCCUAGCAGGAUUCUUUUUACUCUGGAAAGAAGAGUGGUUAAUUUUGGCUGAAACCUUGAUAUAUUCAUGUGUAUGGGUUUUCACUUUCCGCUUGCAGAAAGCCUCAUUCAGAUACACAACCUGAAGAGUGUUUGAUCAGUCAAUAUAUAAUGGUACCUAACAUUUUCUUGAAUUAACUUAUAGCAAUGGAAAUGUAACAGCUGGCAUAUGAUCAUGGGACACAUUGGUCCUAUCACAUAAUGCACCAGUUGUUGGCUCACAGUUGUUGGCUGAAUAGUCUGUCAAAAGCACAGACUUUGUUCUCUACCCCAACUGAGGUGACAAUUUGCAAGUAGUCUAUGUGUAUAGGUCCAUCUUUUGGAAUACAAUAUUCAUUAAAUAAGUGACUGAUAUAGGGUAGUAUAUGUCCAAAAGGUAGAAUAAAUGAGUCUGAUAAUCCAGGUUAGAGAUGGAAGUGACCUCACAAUCAUCUGAUGUAACCUGUAACUCCAAGCUCUGUAUGUUCUAAGAUGUGGAACACUUGCUCCAGGGAAUAUCUUGUGAAUUCCAUUAAACUUUAUAUGAUGAGUCCCACCUAGUCAGAUUGGAAUUUUUUACUAAAAGAUCAAUAGACAAGGAGAAUGUAGCCAUCCUAGUAUGUUGAUUGAACUUUAUAAGCAGGACGAGGUAGAGGAGGCAAAGGAGAACGGAGCAGGCACCCGUAUUUCUUGGCAAUCUUCUACAAAAUUUGAUGAAGCAGCCAGGGUCUGAGAAGUUUAUAGAGACCAGGGGACCAGACUCUUCAGGAUUGUGUUUGGCUUCCCUUACAUUGUAACCUACCUGAAUCAGCAGAGGUGUUAGAUUAGGGAAUUUUAUAAAAUGGGUAGUGGAGAAAAAAUAAUUAAUAUCAGCUGUAAGUCUUGGGCUAUACUUUGUACCACUAACUUCCUAUUCUGAAUGGCCCCAGGGAUAUAGAUCAACUGGAAUUCUGGAGUUUUUCCCAGAGGGAGUGAAUCUAUUUCUAUAAAGUAAGUGGUUCUGAGUGCCACAAGAAAUGGGCUGAAGUGCCUGUACUGAGUUGCGCAGUUCUGUUUUUAAAACUUGCCUUAUUGUUGCUUCUGACUAUACAUAGCUGACUACAUCCUUCAAUAUUACUUCAAGUCGAAGAAAGAUGAUUUGCCAAAAGUUAUGUCCCAUUUUCUAGUGGAGAUAACGUACAAUGACCUGUCUGGCUGCUUUUCCUGGAUUGGGGACACCUCUGAAGAUCUUCUCAGCUCAGAUUUUUCAGUGUGAUCAUUGCAAAUUUUCCAGUUUUAUCCAAGUUCAAGUUUAAACUCUGCCCAAACAAUCUUGUUUCCCUUGCUUCUUUGUAUUUAUUCUCUGCUAUAGUUUGAAUGUUUAUAUCUCCCUCAGAAUUUACAUGUUGAAAUCUCAACUUUCAUGGGUAUGUUAUUAAAAAACAGGAUAUUUAAGGAGAAGAUUACGUCAUGAGUGCAGAAACCUAAUAAAUGUGACCAAUAUCCUCAUACAAGGGAUCCCGCUUGCACCAUGCAAAGGCAUAGCUAGAAGGCUCCAUCCACGAGCCAGGAAAUGGACCCUUCACUGAAUCAGCUCCUUGAUCUUGGAUUUCCCAGCUUCUAGAACUAUAAAAAAAUAAGGGUAUUGUUUAUAAACUACACAGAUUAUGGUAUUUUGUUAUUGCAACUUGAAUGGACUAAGGUACCCAGUUGCCAUUUCUAGAGCACAUUAAAUUCAUGGGGGUACAUUUUAGAGUCUGGGAAUCUUAAGAAACCUAAUCUAUGACCCAUUGAGUAAGAGAAAAGGAUAUUUCCUGUAAGGAAACAGCUUGUUUAAAGUCACAGAGGCAUUAAGUGAGGUGUGAACACCCAAUAACUUACUGUGGUUGAAGCUUAGAAAGCACUGGGGAGCAAGUUUGGAAAGAGUGAAGGUCAACAACACUAGAAUGAUUGCCUUGAGUACCUAAUUUAGUUGGCAGUGUGGAAGCUUCAUGACUUAGAUGCCGAAGCAGAAACAAACUUUAUUUCUGAAACUCCUGCCAAUGCCACUCAUGCACGCUCCCUGGAAAUAUGCCGAACCACACACGCGGUGCUCUCCCGGGACACACUACACCAACAGGAAAUCCCUCCUCUGGAAUUCCCUCCCACCGCACUUCCCCAACCAAUGGGAACUCUCCCGGAGUCGUGCUAGAGCUCCAAAGUAGCAGGCUGAGGCGGACAGCAGGGGUCUAAUAUCCAAUUGAAUGCAGAUCUUAACAUAAUCAUAUCAUCUCAAUGGCUUGCUGGCGUCACCUUUCAACCAAAAAUGCCAUGCAUCGUUCCUACUUGGCUAUGGCUCUCAGCACUUAGAGCCAGGUAACCAAAUGAUCUGAACUUUGCUGUAGGAGGAUAAAACAAUGAGGAAAAUGCAUGGAGAUGGAGGAAGGGUUCGCAUUUGAGAAACACUGGAAGUAUUAUGUUCAGUUUCCUAAAGGAGAAGUCUUUGUUCACAGCCAUGGUAGGAAUAGUAAAAAUGGUGAGGAGGCUCUGAGUAAAUCAAUAGAGCGUGCAGAUAAAAAGGACUUGGUAUUUGAUUUGAUGUGAGGACAGGAUGAAUGAACUGCAGUAUUUCUGGAAAUUUGAGAAAGAAGUUUUGUGGCCUUUGUAGAAUUCUUUACAAGAACUGGGAUGUGCCUAUCGCCUGAGUUUCCCAGGAGGUAUUAUUCUAGAGAACUUCAAAAGGCAUAGGGAAGCUUUUUGUGGAGCAGUUUCCAACCAUAAUCUUCCCAGCUGACUAUAGAAAUGUCUCUUAAUCUCUCUCCCAAUCACGAUGUGCCCAUUUUCUCCCCAGGUUCAGCCUGUUCCAUUCAUUUUAUGGCUUUGUUCUCUAGCGGAUUAGCUGUGACAAACUGUGGCUAGGCCAAAUAGCUGCUUCCCCACACCCGAGCUAGGGCACUAUUGUGUAGGCCCCUUUUAAGAGCAAAGUUUCUUAAUGACCCUAAGCUUUGACUUAAUUAUUCUUAUUAUAGUAUUACUUAAACACGUUUAAACAUCAAAAUAGGUAUAAACUCUGUGUGCUUACCAGCUUUAUAGAAUCAUGUAUAAGAAAGACCACUUUACAAGUUGAAGUCAAUAAAAACUAUAGAACUAAUAAAAUUUAAAUUAAGAUCAUUAAUUUUAUGGACAGAUGAAGUUGUUUUGAGGAAAUUAAAUCGCUGCUCACAACCUAAAUGACAAUCAGCCUCUUUUGAGUUUGGAAUGUCAAAGCUAUCUUGCCACUUGUUAUGACUUAGUUCUCUCUAGAAUUUUCUGUAUUCAAACUAAAAAGAAGUCAUCAAGAUUUUAAAUGACAUUAGUUGGCCUUUACUUAGCAGGUACUUGUUUUUAGUUGUCUAUGAAAUAUGCUUCUCAUUAGCCUUACAAUUACAAGGAGGUGCAGCUUGACCCAGUGAUAUCCUGAACACAAGUAUGUAUUUGAAGCCAAAUGUGAGUUAUAGUAUUUGGUAAUUGACAUAAUCCUCAAUGUAAUUAUUGACAAAAAUUUAGGUUACCAUACAAAACAUUUAAGUUUUUAGGCACUCAGAGCUCAAUUAAAUUUUUUUUUUUAAAGUUAAGUUCCUUUGUCCAUUGAUGGGCUGUGAAUUGUUAUAAUGAUUUCAAAUUCUUUUUUUGGUUCUUUUGAAGCAUGACAAGUAAUUCCAUAGGAUUUCACUGUUGUGUACAAUUAAAGCCCACUUCCAAGUAAAAUAUUAUGUGAUUUACUCAGAGUUGCCAUGAUUUUGUGUUUAUAAGCCAAUGUUUGUAUUAUCCUGGAUCUGGAUUUUUUUUGUUUUCCUUUACUGAGUAGUCUGGCUGUCAUAGAGUGUGUGGCAAGCUCAGAGAUGUGAGCGGCACUUCCCUCCUCAGAAGGGCUGCUUAUGUGAAUGCCUUGAUACUUUCUUUUAGGAAUAGUUUUCAAUUGUCACCCUUAGAGGUUUGUAUUUAAAAGUUCUUUCGGAUUUAGUAUUGUCAUUGUUCAUCUUUGCUGUGUGUUUAUCUAACUCUAUAGUGGAUUGCAAUACUUAAUUUUACCACUAAUUUUCUGUCCUCUAUUCUAACUAUAGUCUCUGAUGUAUAUUGUGAAUCAGAUGUGAAUAUCCAUAUCUAACCCUAACCUUCUUCCCAAAUUUAAUUUGAUAAGGAAUUACAUUUCAUUGCUAUCAUGGAGUAAUAGUGGCCAAUGGAAAUUAGGAGCAGGCCUGGUGAGUGUCAGGGUUACUUGUCAUGUUUAAAAAGGGAUACUGGUCCAAAGAGUUGGAGAGCUACUAUUCUAAUUAGCAGAAAGCCCCAAUCUGGUUAUUUGUCUUUGUCAUCUUGUCCCCUUGAAAAGCCACACCUAAUAAUAAUGAUGGUUGCUCUCUAACUAAGUUACCUUUAUGCAAACUUAGUUUUCAUAGUUUGCUGUUUAAAAUCCUUGGAUGACAGCGCACAAUUUAAAUAAGAAAGAAUGUAGAAAUGGAACCUUAGUGUAACUCUAGCCAUAACAGGUCAGAUUUGGUAUAAAACUAGUACAUAUUGGAUCAAAUCCAGAUGGGUUUAUUACCAAAUGUACCAGAAGGAUCUAAUUAUAACACUUUCACAUAGAACAUGGUCCCUUAGAAUGGAUUUCCAGGAUAGCAUGUUGAAAAUGUCAUGCAAAUGAAAACGAGAUGGGUAGUUCUUUUGGUAGAUGAGGGAUGUAGGUAGAAGGGAGGAUAGAAGAAAUGUCUUAGGGAACACAGAUGAGGAUGAUAUAGGGAACCUCAGUCUGGAAUUUCUUUAAGCAUUGGCCUUGGGGUAUGAAAGGCAAAUGAAACAAAAAUUCUAUCAAAUUUAGUUGAAUGUCAGGAGUCCUUGGCUGAAAACAUUUGAAACUGUUACACUAAAAUCAGUUCAAUAUGUUCAGUAUUAUUAUUAUUUUUAUAACUAAGUUAUUUAUGUUAAUACAAUUGAGCACUACAAUAAGCCACACUUCUCAGAAUUUUUUUGUGGUACCAUUCUAGAGCAUGAGCCCACAUACUUUAUGCUUCCUGAGUUAUGUAAGGCAUUCAAUUGUCUACUGAUUUCCCUAGGUUGGUAAGUUGAGGGAAAUGAUUUUAAGAUAAAAAGAAAAAAGCCUUAAGUUGUUUAUUUUUUCUUUCAAAGAAAAGCUGCUAAGGGUUGUAAACCUAAUAGAAUUUUGUCUAAUUACAUUUUAAAUCAUGUGUUCAAUGUGUUUCUUUAUUAUUUAUGUACAAUUAAAGUUUUGUCCACAAUCUACAUGGAAGAUUUUGAUAAGUACCAGGGGCAUUAGUUUUGUAAAAGUUGAUGGUGGCAGGAUUUGCAGCAACUCUGGUUGUUAAAAGAUAACUUUCAUCUGUUAGUGCUCUCUACAGAGGAAAACGUGGACAGUGACUUGUGUAAUGGCAGCACAUUUUGGAAAACAGGAUUAACCGAGAUAGUCCAUCUAUACAAAACUAUUUUUAAAUCUAAUUUCUCACAUUCUCUUAAAGGCACACUGAUGAGUUUCUUUAACUCCAGUUACUUAUUUUCCUGUCUAAAUCUAUACAUGUAUAAAAAUUACAGUGUGAGUAGCUGGGGUUCCAUUAAAAUAGCUUUUUAAAUGUGCAUCUUAACCAUUUUUUUUCUUUUAGUUUCAACCAGGACAUGCAUUUGAAAAAAAGUUUUUUCUUACACUUUAAUGGUAGAUAUUUAGACAAAAGUUGUCUAAUUAAAUCAGUGAAUGGAACUCAGACUAUACUUAUUUCUGUAUUUCUUAAAGUAGAAUAUUAAUAGCUAUGUAUAGACUAUUGAAAUUUCAGGGCACCAGGACAAGUGAAUGUAUGGAUUUUUAGAUCCGAGAACUAGAUGUGGUCUCGUUUCAGGGCAGUUCUGUCUUCUCCAAGUCCCUGUACUCCCUACACACUCCUUCAUCCAUGACUAGCUCUUUCCACACAUUUCUUGCCUCUGGGAUUCUUUCUGUUUAUGCCCUGUCAACCAUCUCUUCUUUGGCUUGCCAACUAUGCCCUCUCAUUGGUCUAUUUUUUCUAAUAUGAGACAUAUUCUGGGCUAUUCAGUGACUAUAUAUACUUUAAAAAGGAGACAAUUUUUGAACAAAAAUGUGCUUAUAUAUUUAUUCCUUGCAAAUUAGAAAAAUUUUCAAACUUCUUUACUUUUUUUUUUUUGCCUUUACUUAAAAUUUUCAGAAAUAACAACCAGGUCAUAUACAGCUGCAUUAUCUUUGUGUUCAUAAUAACUCCCAAGGUCUUAUCCAGGUCUAUUAAAAGUACAGUAAUUCAUUGGUUUUGUGUACAUAAUGCAUAAAUAUCUGGCUGGAAAAUUCAGUCCACUAUAUGGCUAUUUGGUCAUUAAGACUCCAAACAUUUGGAUUAUUUAAUUGGGAGAUAUAAAAUAACUGUUUCUUAGAAUCAGAAUGAAUGGGUAUUAUUUAGAAAAUGUUGCAGAUUUUUUAAAAAAUUUAGCUAUUCUGGUUUUAGUAGAUAUAGCUUUGUGUGUGUUGUUAACAACUAAAGAGUAAUUUAUGCACUGUAAGCUCAUUGCUUGUAUUUUCUUUUUCUAUAAUAAGAUUCUAAUAAAUAAAAAUGUUGGGUUCAUUUCAUCACACAAGUUCAUUUUUAUUCUGUGUCACAGAAUCAAUAAACCUUUAUAUAAAUGUGUUUAUAUACACAUAUAAAAUGAUACAGACAAUUCAUACAAUUCAGUUUUUAGAAAGGCACAACAUUAUUUUGUUAUGUGGUAACAUGGAAAUAGUAACUGAACAAUUGAUAUUUUAUUUUCUAAAAAAACAAGUAUUUAGUUUGGGAGCCGGGGAAGAAAAAAGCAACAUUUAACUUAUCUUUUAUUGAUCUGAUUCUAAGAACACUUUAUGAUACAAGAAUACUACUUAAAACAUUAUUGUUAUCAAAACAUUUCUUUUGAAAAAUGAAUAUUCACAUAUCUGCUUAAUUUUUAAAUUUAUUCUUUACCUCCCUUCUUCUCUUCCUUCCUUACACAAUUAUUUACAUAGUCUUUAACUUGACAAGGCAUUUUGUACUUAAUUAACCUACAAAUAUUUCUUUUCUUUCUUUCUUUCUUUUUUUUUUUUAAAUUUGAUAUUUGGUGCUACUGGGGAUUGAACCCAGGGCCUUGCAUGUUCUAGGCAAGUACUUUAUCUCUGAGCUUUAUCCCCAAACUAGAAAUAUUUCCAUGUUGCAUUGUGGAUUUUGUUUUAUAUUUGGACUUAUUUUUAACACUAACUUUUCUAAAUUUUUUUCCUACUUUUGUCUACACAUUCUCUCACACAUACACAAUUAUAUUUGAAUUAAGAAAUGGUAAACAAAUAAAAAAUUCAUUAGUUUAAUUGACCAGUUUAUUCUGUUUUAACAAUGGAGUUUCUGAUUCAUAGUAAGCUAAAUAACUUUUUGGAUUUUUCCCUUAAUUUAGCAAGUAUUAUUAAGUACAUAUUUUUAUUUGAAAUGUUAUGUGUCCAUGAUAACUGUUUGGGGGAAUUUGAAGAUUCAGUAUAGUCAAAACACAACUGUUGACUGAUUUUUAAAUUCAACAAUGGCAUUGAUACUUUUUGUUUUUGUGAUCUGGUUGUAUUUCUUCAUUUAUUCUUAGCCUAUACUUUUUAAGAUAAACUUUUUAUGCAAAAUGUCUUAUUUGUUGAAAGUAAUUUUAAAAUAGUUAUUGGUUAGUAAAUGUUAUAUAGAUAACUCAAACAAUUUAUAUUUAUUUAAUAAGAUUUAGAUAAAAUAUGUUUUAAAAUGAUUUGAUAAGCUAAUGAACAGAAAUGUCAUACAUCCAGAUCUCUCUUUCACAAAUUUAUUUUACUUCCAUAAGAUAGUUUAAAAUUGAUAUUAGUUAUUUUGAAAAAUUAUUUUUAGUUUUCUUUUUUUCAUGAUAUGUGCAUAUCAAGAUAUUUAAUAGUAACUUCAUUAAAAUCCCUUCUAAACUGUUAUAAUAGUUUCAGUAUUUAUUUAUUCUAUAUUGCUUAUUUCUUUACAGAGAGAGCAAAACUUAUAAAUUACAAAACAUAAUUUUUGCAUGUAUACAAUUUCUUGAAAUUCUGACAAGUCUCUGAAAAUAUAGAACAUAUAGUAUAGAAUUUAGAAAAGAAAUAAUUCACAAAACAUUUGUUGAAGAGCUAGCUGUAUGUUUGUCUCUAGCACUAUGUGUCAAAAUAUGUGUAUGUUCUUAUACACACAUGUAUACAUACACAUACAUGUAUCUGUACACAAUCAGGUAUGAAUGAGUUCAUUUUUUUUUGUCAUUUCAUUGGUUAAACAACAAGAUGGAAAAAUACUUUCCUCAAAUUAUAUAGAAAUAAUUUCCUCAAGUAGUGUUUCUAAAAUAUACUGAUAAUAACAACAAAAAGUUAAUGUGGCCAAUCAGCACUGAAAAAUUUCCUCUUUCUGUAGCAAAAGUAAUAAGAUGCUCAUUUUUUUAAAUGAAAGGAGACAAAAUGAAAUGCUUAACACAAACAAAUGACUUAAAUAAGAAUGUAUUAAUCAAAAUAAAAUGAACACUUCACCAAAAUAAAAACUCAGUAUUAUUGAGAAGGAAGAAUAUUAUAUUACCUCUGUCUGUAGGGCUUCCAUCAGAAGGAGCUCAGCCUUGGUUUCCCACUGUUAGUACAAAGGAGAUUAGUGAUGUAAUUAUCAUUGAAACUGAUGUCCUUCUGAAAAAAAGAGGGGAAUUUGAAAUGCAAAUCAGCAUUUAUUGAAUUUUUUAUGACACAGUGAAAGAGAUAAAGGUCUCUGGUUUAUGAUGGGGAGAAAAGAAUGAUAACUAGGUAAGAGCUUUGUUUUUAACAAACUAGCCAAACAAAAUAAGUACUGAAAUCAGAUUAUUUGGGGUUUUAUUUUAAUAUGUACACAGAUUUUUAAAAUAAAAAGGAAGCAAUUGAAAAAGUAAAUACUCAUCUUUUGGACAUCCACUCAUUUAGAUCACUAGCUUCCCUUCAUCCAAGACACAUAAAUCUUAAAUACUUGGAAUUUCCAUUGUUAACAAAGAGAAUUGCAUGAUGGUGUGCAAAUAAACACCAUGCCAAUGACUAUAGCCCUUAAUUGUUUCAAUAAUAGUAGACAUACCUGUUUUGUCUUCAAGGAAUUAAAGUCUCACAGACAUAUCUAAGAAUCUAUAUUUAUUGUAUCACACUUUGUAAUGUAACAUCAAGUUAUAUAACCUGUUGUGGAAAUUUGGCAUUAUAAAGGGAAGCACUAUAUAAUCCUGGAUCUCACUGGACUCCAUCCGGAGAAUUUUAGUGUGUAAGAAUUCAGAUUUAAAGGCAGAUGAUAUGGAGUUACCUUUAAAGGGACAUGAUUUUUUUUAAAGCAAAAGUUACCCCAAAACAAUAGCAAAGCCAAAACUACAAAACAAUCUGAGCCUUUGUUGAAAAAAAUGUAGUUCUUUAGCUUGACCAGGAAUGACAAAGGAAGAAUGUCAUUAAAAUAUUGUCCAGUUCUCUCUUUGGAUUCUGUGCAGCAUGACUAUGAUGGUGGAGUAUAGGUAGGUACACAGUAGAGACCCAGGAUAGAUAGCAUGAUGUCCUUUUCAUAAGGCAACUUGUUUUUUUUGUGUGUGUGCAGAAGUAAAAAUGCUUAGGUAACAGCAUUCCAUACUUAGAUAACAAUACACUGUAAACUUUGAUUUGGGUUAAAGACAAGUGAGUCCAGAGAAAAGAAAUAACCUUGGGCUGGUGCUCCACAGAACCUUGAAUGAAAUAUUGAAUUUUCAAAGAGAGAAAGAGGAGCUAUUUCAGGUAAGGGGCUGGGGGGGGGUGUAGUCUGUUGAAAGUGAAAAGCUUGAAUAACAGUACUUACUUGAAUGACAAUACGAAUAGCAAACAUUUAUUGAUUACUUGUGGGAGAUUCUAAGCAUUUUACUACCUCAUUUCAUCAUCAAUCUUUGUCUUAUCAGCCAUGAAACAGUCACAGACUACCUGUAAUCUCAGGGUCAGUUUAUCUUCUUGGCCGAAAUGGCCAGAUGUGAAACUAGUCUGACUGUGAGAAGGAAUUGUCUUAAUGCUGACCUGGUAGAGACACCUUAAUUGGUUUUAUUGACUAGUGUCAAUAUGAUAAUAUUCUACUUUCAAUCAGAUUGCAAUAUUGGACUUCUGUGGCUUUAGUCUUAUGUCAUUUAAAUUCCAAUAUUUAAGAAAAUAAAGUUCUGGUUGUACGGCCAAAUAUGAACAGUGCGUAGCCAAAGUGAACCAAUAUAUUGUAUUGACCUUUAAUUUGUUGGUUUUACUGGAUUGCUUUACUACUUCACAACAAAUUAAAUUGGUAAACUCAGUGGAAAAAAAUCAUAAAAAAUAAUACUUGACCAUUUGUUUGACAAAUAAAUAAAUAAAUAAGUCUCAAUUUGUGGAUACAGCCUAAUGUGGAAAAAAUCAUUAAAUACUGAAACUUGAGGGAAACUUAUAAGUUCUUCUCCUAAAUUAAAAUCACAAUUAAUAUUAUAAAGUCAUUAUACUAUAGCAUUGAAUAUAAAUGUAAUUAAUUGAUGUUAGACAUAUCAGACAAUUUAAUAGAAUUAUUUUGCUAAUAGAUUUUCAAUUGAGACUCCUGACUCUAAAAUAGGGAAUUUUGAUGGACCUUUUUGGAAAAUUUUAAUAGACAUAGUUAAUAUGCAUUAUUUAUGCUCAGCAGUGUUGUUUUUAUUAUUCACAUAUGCCCAAAGGCUUAGGCAACAGGGAAGGAUUUUUAAAAAAAAAUAAAUUGAAAGAAUAAAUAAAUAAAAUUAAAACCACAUGUUAGUUCUUUGGGGAGUGAAGGGGUGCAUUUUGACUGUUGGUUACUCUAUAUGUUAAGCUUGGGUCUGAUUUCAGGUAAACUUGUGAUUAAAGACCUAGUCUAGGGAAAUCUCUGGUGUCAUGCAGAGAUAUGCACUAGAAAAGAGUCAAGUUCAGCAGAUCCUUAAGAAUCUUAAACAAAGUUCACACAACCCUUGAUAUAGCUUGGAGUUGUCCAGCAAUUGAAAGGAGUGCUUUGUCCUGAGUAUGUAAUUUUGAAGUGAUAUCAGGACAGUAUUAGACAGUUUGGACUAUUAGAUAUGGACUUCUUUUAGGUUCUUCAUGAUCAAAAGCGGAAAGAAAUAUGGACCAGUUAGAACUUUGAUUUUUUUUCUAAGAAAUUGUCAAGAAAAGGAAUCAGGAGAAACAAUGCAUUUCUCUUUCUCUUCAUCAUUUAAUCUAAGGGAAUAAGAGAGAAAGAAGUUGUCUGGAAUACAACGUGAAAUUUGUAUAAAAAAAGUGCUAUUAUGGAUUUACUUCCAAUCAUUCCUUGACUAUAUGAUUAUGUAUUAUGACAAUGUCAUAACACCGAUUUUUUUGAUGGAAUGUCAGAAGCAUUUUACAAGUCUGUGGCUCCCUGAAAACUCAAGUGCUUUUAUAACUCCAAAAAGUUUCUAUAAUAGGCUUUAUUCUUUCUUUUAAAUGACUGUCAGAGGGACCUACCAUUAUCUUGACACUUAUAUUUGAGAAACUUUUGCUCAAGCUCUUACACACCUUCAUGGCAACAUUCAAUUUCCAGGCUCUUUUGUGGCUUCCUCUUUCUGCUUCUCAUUAUGUCUAACCAGCAGAAUGUUUUGUCUGUUUUGAUCAGCCAGGUUAGAAGUGAGCUGAAUUCUGAACAUUUUCACCCUGUUUUUUAGUCCCGCUUAAGAAAUAUUUACUGAAGCUCUGGACCUAUAAAAAUGAAGUGGAUUUUGAGAUUUUAUUGAUGUAAUGGAAGAGAAAGGAUUGCCCAUUGUUACUAUAUCCAAAACAUUUCAGAAGUACAAGCAGAGAAAUAUGUCUCUAUCACCAGAAAUUAAUAUGAAAUCAUGUUCUUCUUCUGUCAUACAGAAAAUUUGUCAUUGAUUUUAUCUCCAAUAAAAGCUAUGUCAGUGGUGCCACAUAAUACAUUUGUAAAGGUUAGAGAUAUUUUAACCCUCAUCUGUGACCAGAAUUAUAAUGGUAAGCAACCCACUGAAGCACCACCAGCAGAUUAUUAAGAGUGUACAAUUUUUUUUUCUUCAGACAUUAAUGCAAAAUAGCAAAGGAAUGCACACAUUGUAAUGCAGUCAGGUCAUUUUUAAUAAUGUCCUUGAAAUUGUAAAUUUAUUACAUAAGUAGAAAUAUGUGAUUACAAAUUCCAUCAAUCUCAUGUUCUUGUCAUGGAUUUGUGUUUUUAGAGUCCAGAGAGAUUAUGCUGUCGUAUUGGUUAAAUUCUCAGAAAGGUCUGUGAAAACAUAACAGCCACAUUAUUUUAAUGACUUCCUUUCUGAAAUGUGUAUUGUUGCAAGCUAUGAAUAAUGAAGAGUGAAUUCUCAGAAAUAUAGGUUUUACUUAUCUGGAUUUCAAUUUCCAGAAUUCAAUAAUUCCACUUUGAAUUCUGCUAAUUAGGUAUAUAGAAUAUAAGAGUAAAUAUCUGUAGCUGAAUGGACUGACUAGUCCUUGGAAAAUUAAGGUUGCUGAAUUCACUUAAUGUAACAUCAUAUUAUCUCUUAUUUUCCUCUUAUUUAUACUUUUCAGUAUAAGUUUCCAGGCAGAAUUUACUUUCUCCUUUAAUUGCACAUUCUAUUUUGUAUUAAGAGCUAAAUUUCAGAUGCUAAAGUUUCUCAGUUGGACAAAUUAGUAACUGAUGAGCAGCCAUAGGACAGACCUAAGUCGCUAGCCUCAAAAUUGAAUCAUAAGAAACUACGAUUCAGAACUAGCUAAGAAAAAUGAAAUGCAUAUUCAGAUUGUUUUUCCACCGGAUGUAUGACACAAAUACAAUGUUUGCUUAGGAACAUCCAAAUAAAACAUUUAUUUAUUUAUUUUGUAUCUCAGACACUGGAAUUGGUUCAUGCUGGCGUCUGGUCAUUUUAUUCAGAAGUGCAGAAUGUAUUUUGAAUACAAGUUGAUUUAAUUUAGUUGGUUUAAUCCACAGUUUCAACUUUUGCCUUCUCUUUUAAAACAAGUUUCAUGAAAGCAUCUGCAGAAGCCUUGUUUUGAUUACCCUUUAUCCUUCAGCCUUAGAUCAGUAUCAGUUUUUUCCCCUUGCUCAUAAUCCAUUAUAGAAAAUACUGUAGAUUUCUACAGCAUGACCAAAACUCCACAUUAUGUUUGCAAUUUUCCGUAAGAUUUGUGUAGAAUAAAGUAAAAAAUGUUUGCUUUAAGAGACAUCUGCUAUAAAUAAAAUGACAGUGUAAAUUUUCAAGAGAGCUGCACAAUUGCUAUAAAGGCUCAAAACAUGAACCUUCUCUAGCAGUUUCCAGCACUUUGUGAUUUUCCAAAGGGUCAAGGGUAUUCACCUCCCUGCUCUUGAACCCCCACCCAACUCCUGGUUCUCCUAGCCACCCUCUCAGUCCCCGCAAUUGCAAUGAAAUUAGCCUGUAAUGCUUUCAGCACCCUUGCAGAUCAGCUUUCCUUUUCAGGGAAACAUGUGAAUGGCACUAAAAUACGCUUCCCACUCUCACAAAAUAUUUCCUCAGAAUACUUUAGAAACUCAAACCAGUUACUUCAGAUUCUGAUAUUAUCUUUAUUGAAUAGCAUCAGCCUGAAAGGUCAGCCAUCUAGGUCAGUGAUACAUAUUGCUUAAGAAGUUUCCAGAGCUACUCAUUAAAGCUCUGCCUCAGGAGAGAUUUGCUAGGGAGAAGAGAGACAGAGCUGCAUUUCUUUCCCAAAAUUUUCUUGCCAAUGAUCUUUAAAAACAAGUAACAGAGUUCUUACAAUAUCCUCCUUUGGAAUGACAAAAAAAAAGAAAAGAAAAGAAAAGAAAAUUCUGUUUUCUAAAAGGAAGCACACCAUAGUGGUUGUUGUCAGAAAUAGAGUUGAGAAAUCAAUGACUAAGAACAACAAUGACAAAUAUAUGUGGAAGUUCAGAGAAAAAAGCUGGACAAUACUAUUUAAAAAAUGGUCAUCAAACUAUAUAAAAAGCUCAUUUUAAAAUUCUUUAUUGAUGCCAUUUAUAUACGUUUUUAAAUAUAGAAAGUGAAAUUCAAAACACAAAAUUCCAUAGAGUAACAAAUAUAUUCAAGCUUUAACCUUAAUAAGAACUUCAGGUUGAUGGAAAAAUAUGUAAACCAAGGCUCAUUAUUUUUCAGAUAACAAGAAAGGAAGGAGCACCUUGUAUGGAUAUUGCUUCAUUUAUUUACUGCAUGUCUAGUGUGAAAGUACUUUUUGGUAUUUAUAGAAAUAUAUUUUAAAUUGGUUUUUCAUUAUAAUACCCCAAAGGCAAAAUUAUUUUAUUGGAAAAUUGAUUUGCUAUCAAAUAAAAUGAAGAUAAGAGUUUAAAAGUGCUAAACUAGUCAAAUGAUAACAGUUUAGUUCACAAACAUUACAGGAUGUGCAUACAUGCACCCAUAUGUAUUAUAUGUAAGUGUAUGGUAUGUGUGUGUGUGUGUGUGUGUGCGUGCGCGCGCAUUUUAAAUCUUCCCAUAUUUAUGGUUCUCAAAAGUGACUUUUUGUAGCAAUGGAGGAAAUGUUAGGCUGCCACUUUUUGAUAUAGCAGUUCCUCAAUGCACAUAUAAAUUAUAUAAAUUGUUAUGACCGACAAAACCAAUUGUCAAAAUGUAUAUAUAUAUAUAUAUAUUUUUUUUUUAAAAAAAAUACUUAUUUCCCCCCUUAAAAAUGGUUUAAUUUCUCCCUAUCUCUUUGAGUCCUUUAUCUUCUCCAAUGUCCUACCUUGCAAUAUGUGUGAAAUUUUAUCAAAAGCUUUCUGAUAUUACCAUAAAUUACUGUGUAAGCAGAGCUAUUGCUUAUCUGUCAAGGGGACUUUUUUCCCUCUCUUGAGCAAUUUUCUCUAUUUCUAUCUGUGUGAAAGGUUUUCCCUGCUAUUUUUAUUUUUAAUUUUUAAUACUAAGAACUGUACCUUAAGGACUUUGACUUUCAGUGAGGGGAUACAUUAGAAACCUAUUCAUAGAAUAACCUUUUGACACCACAAAGGGGCAAGAAAAACAUUUUCUUUCAUCUGUUUUUUUUCUUUAGUAAGAAUUUAGAAAUAAUAAUUUCUAUAGGGUGGGACAAAUUCCUGUGUUAAAUCCAGAAAUUGUAUGAAUUGUGUUUAAGGUAUUUUUCUACCCUUCUAAGUUCCAAGUUCAUUUUAGUUGUAUUUUGAUGGCAGUGAGUUAAUUUUUUGUUAUUUAUUUUUAAGAUUAUGUUUCAUUAGUGUUAAUCUUCUGAUGAGAAUUAUUUUAUGGUACUCUAUCAAACCUAUUAGUCGUAAGUUUUAACAACCAUGCAAUUAUAUUUUCUAUUGUAAGGUUUCUUAUAAAAUAUUCAAGGUUAAUUGGACAUAUCUUCUGCUUUGGAAAGUAGUUAAGAUGAUAUCAUAUUAUGUAGUGUAUAAUCUAGAAAGACCCUGGAUAUUAGGGUUGCUUUAUUUCUGCCCUAGGAAGAGAUGGAGUGGAAUUUCUAUUUGGGGCAUGCAGGAAAAAGGUUACUUUGAAGAUCCAGACUUUGGAGAGGAUUGCCAUGAUAACAGAGUAUCUAGAAAGCAUUUUAAGGAAGAAAGCCUAAAAUGUUCCUAAAAUGUCCCUGGGCUCAUCAGUUGACUGGAAUUUUGUUUCAUAGUCAAUGACUUGCCAUAUCAUCUCUUUAAUUUUACCUACAUUCCACUUUAGAUACAUUUUUUAAAAUUUUUAAAUAUCCUUUACAAAUAUUAGACAACCAAUCUUUCCCUCUGCAGCACACUUAUAUAUUAGCCUCACAAGUGAAUGAUAAAGCCAAAUAGAAGAGCUGUACCUCUGAACCUGUCUACAUUGAGAUCUAUGCAAUGAUGUCAAAAAUGUUGACAUUUAUCACCAAAAGACUAUAUAUGUUAAUUGUGAUUCAUUUGUUUUCAAAGACAACAACAAAAAUAAUAAGCCAGUCUUCAUUCGUGAAUAAUGAUUUUUUUAAAAUUUUUUUCUCAGCACCACUGCUCCAUGCAGAUGGCAUUUACCCUGAUCAUAAUGCCCUGGUCUUCUCUUAAUACAUGAUAAGAAACACUCAACCCUGGACGUUUUUCUUAUUAGUUGUUCUUUAUGUGCGACAUUUCCCUUGUACAUUUAAUGCCUUUGGAGUGUAAUGAGGCAUAGUGGUUGGCAGCGCUGCUUCUGGGGAAGGUCCAUUAUGGCUUCCACACCUGCAGCUCCCAGUUAAUUUCUAUGUGAGUUUGGGAAAGUCACGCGGCUUGAGUCAGUUCAUUUCCCCAUUCUUGAAAUGGAGGUAAUGCUAGAAACUAUUGACGAUGAGAAUUCAAAGAAAUACAGCCGCUUUGGAAAACAGUUUGGCACUCUCUUGCAAACCUAUAUAGAUAACAAUUACACUCCUAGAUAUUUGCCCAAAUGAGUUGAAAACAUGUUUACACAAGACCCUGAACAGAAAAGUUUAUAGCAGUUUUACUCAGAAUCAUAAAAAACUGGAAGUAAUCUUCAAUAGGUGAAUAUAUCAUAUAGUACAGUAUGAUCACACAUUGAAAUGUUAUCAGUGAUAAAAAAAAUGUGCUAACAAACCAUGGAAAGAAGUGGAGAAGCCUUAAAUAUAUAUUGCUUAGGGCAGGAAACAAGUCUAAAAAGCUACAUAUUCUGCAAUGCCAACCACUUGCCAUUCUGGAAAAGAAAAAAUUAUGCAUUCUGGGAAAGAAAAAACUAUGGAGAAAGCAAGAAGAUCUGUGGUUGCCAGGAGUUUGCAGGAAGGAUGAAUAGAUGAAGCUCAGAGAAUUUUUAAGAGAGUGAAACUGUUCUAUGUGAAACUAUAUUGUUGAAUACAUGACAUUAUGCAUCCCAGCUACUUAGGAGGCUGAGGCAGGAGGAUCACACGUUCAAGGCCAGACUCAACAACUUAGAUACUGUCUCAAAAUAAAAAACAAAAAGGGCUAGGAGUGUAGCUUUAGAUUCAACUUCCAGUACUGGGAAAAAAAAAAUCAAAAGUAUGCAACACAAACUGAGAACCUUCAUAUAAACUAUGGACUUAGUUAAUAGACACCUAUCAAUAUUAGUUUAUCAAUUUUAAAAAAUAUACUAUGCUGAUGUGAGAUGCUAAUAAUAGUGGAAACUGGAGGAAUGAACAAGAAACAUGGGAACUCUUCUUUCUGAGCUCUUUUUCUCUAAACUUAAAAUAGGUCAAAAAUAGUGUCUUAAUUUAGUAAAUAUAUUCUUUUAGCUUCUAAUUUGGUAACAGACACAUCAAUAAACCUAGUAGCUCUGUUAGUCCUCACAAAAUUACUUUGACUUAGUUUCUAGCAUUACCUCCAUUUAUAAUAGUAUUACUAGGCUAUAUCUUUUAAAUAUUUUUCCCCUAUUGGAAUAUAUUUAGCUCAUUUAAAAUACAAUUCAGUUCCAAUUUGUAGUCCUUCUAGCCAGCAAGUCAAAGUGUUAUAUGAAAUAGAGGCAGAGAGUCACUAAAGUUCCAGGAUCUUAAACAUUUUCUUCUUUCCAGGGAAGAAUAAAACUAGGGGGAGGAAUGUGGUUACAAUAGUUAUCAUUCAGAAUUAUGAAUAGGGGCACUUUGUUGGAGGUUCAGACGUACGAAGUAGGACUGGGGUGGGAAGAUUUGUAUAAAGAUGACUUUUUUUAACACAGAAAAAUAUAUAAUGAAAAACGUCCAGCCAGCUGUGAAUGGGAGAAACUGGAAUCAACCCUGCUAUCCUGCUUUUCCCUAGACUGAAAUACUGUCAUUGGAUCUCAGUGAGACAAUGAAAGCAUUAGGUAUACUAGAAUACAGUAAGAAUUCUAGAGAAGUUUUCCAAGAAUUGAUAACUCAAUUGUGGCAUUAGAUAGAUGGUCAUCUAAAUUAGUUCCAACAGUGAGAUAUAAAGACCAUUAUGGACUUAACAAAUGUAUAUGAAACAUGCUCUAUCCUCUAGGAUCUCUUGUAGAGUAAGGAAUACAGCAACACAUUCUCUGCCUCACAGAAAUUAUAUUACAGUGGGAGAAACAACCAGUAAAUAUUUAAUUAAUUGCAUAUAUAUAUAAUGCUAUAUAAUGAUAAGGGAUAGCCCCCCCCCCCAAAAAAAAAAACAUGAAGCAGGGUAAGGGAAUGAAGAGUAAGAGUGUGCAUUUUGGGAAAAGAUCCUGAGCAAUUAUUGACAUAAGACCAACAUACAAAUGCAGCAAAGAUGCAAGCCAUUUAUGUAUUCUCUGGAAAAAGCACUACUGGGGAGAGAAAAUUCCAGGUGUAAAAAUCUUGACUAAGGAGUUGAGGGUGGGAGAUGGGCUGAGAGGUGCUUAGAGAGCAAACUGGAGAGGAUGUUGGGUUUCCUUGUUGUAGGAGGCCAUGGGUAAUACAGAACAUUAAAUUGAUAGGAACUGCAUUUCAUUUUGGAACUAUCUCGGAGUAGAGCAGGAGAGUAAGAAAGUCCAAGAAGAAAUCAAGUGUCCAAUCAGGCAGUUUUUGCAGGGACCGAAUAGAAGUCAAGGCUUGGACUAACUGGGUAUUGGGGAGUUGGAAUAUAUAUUUUUUUGUAGCUAGAGAUGACACUGUGCAUGAACUGAAUGUGGUAUUAUUAAAGAAGACAGGAUUGUUGCAUGAAUAGCUAUGUGAAUGGAAAUGCCAUUUUACCAAGUGAGGAAGGCAAAGUUGGGAAAGAGAAGCUAAAUCAUGUGGGGGGAAAUUUUUCAGAGUAAGAAGAUGUGCUAGCUUCUUAUGUUCCCCAUUAAGUCCAGAACAGUUCUGAGACAUUGAUACACAAUUACUGGUUUAAAAAAUAGUAUAAUUUGAGAUAAAAUGGAAUUUGGCCAUUUACAUUUCUUACUCCCUUGAGAUGAACAUAAAUAUCAGGAAGUGUUUUGUGCUUUGAGCAACCACCUGAGUCUCAAGCUCAUUGAAAUGUACAGGUGUUCUCUUUUAUCUUUAGGGAGAAGUUAGCCUUUAUUCCAUAGACAUAUCUUAUUAUAUCUGGAACGAAGAGGAUUUCCCCCUCCUUUUUUUUCUGUUUAGCUUUAUUUUACUAGACACUUAGGAUAUUAACAUUUGUUAUUUAUUUACUUAAACUAUCAAGUUGUUAGAGUUUGUUGAAGAGGAAUUCAGUUUCAUACACAGAAGUGUUGACAGUGUUUGACAAUCUUCCCCCAGUUUUAGGGGAGAGUAAUUUGUUAUCAGUGAACUGGAAAUGUUGUCUUGAGUUAGCCUGGGUUUUUAAUAGCUGGUAUCCUUACUUUUUCAUUAUAAAUUCGUUUUUAGUUUAGCUUAAUAAUUACCAUUUUCUUUUCUUAUGGGAUGUUAGCACUAAGCUUUCAGUGCAUGGCCAUAUACAUUGAUCCAAUAGUAUUUUCCAGAUUGUGAUAUCCCCAAAGCACGGAAUCCCAAUGUACUGUAAUUUGAAUAUGAAUCAUUCACCCCCCUAUUGAUAAAACAGAUGUCUACUUAAUUUCCCUCCUCAUCCCUCAGCUUGCUUGAGCAGUGACACUUUAUUGUUAACACUGAAUUCAUUUUCCAUAGGAAGAGGUGAUUUAGUAGGGUGGAUAGACUUUAGAGUCUUUACUAUGAUCAAGUAGUUUUUGUUAAAAAAAAACAACUGUUGGUAUAUACACAAAUCUUCAUUUCUUUUAAUUUUCCUCUUUGUCAGGAGUUACUUUAUUGAUCAGUGUUAUAUAUAUAUUUUUUCUCCUGCAAUUUACUAGAUAUACAAAGACAGGUAAAUAGAAAAGACAUUAAAAAUUUUGGAAAUCUUCCAUACACCUCAGUUAGAAUCAGCCAGGCCUGAAAUCAAGUUUUUAAUUUUUAAGUGUGUGUUUGUGUGUUGUGUGUCUGUGUGUGCAUUAGGGAUUGAACCCAGGAUAUUGUACAUGAUCAGCCUGUGCUGUAUACUUGAGCUAUAGCUCCAGCCUUGAAAUUAAUUUUUUGUUUUUCUUUUGAACUGAGAGCUAGGGGCUAGUUAGACCUCAGUAACCACAUUGUAAUCAUGUGCAACUUUAUUUUAUAUUUACAGUGCUGGCGAUUGAACCCAGGACCUUGAACUUGCUAAACAUGUGCUCUACAACUAAGCCAUAGUUCCAGUCUUGCAAUUAAACUUUUGCUACAGUACUAGCUAGCAUUUAAUCAUUGACAAAUUACCUAACUUCAUAGUCUUAAUUUUUUAAAUUUGUAAAUUGGGAUCAUAAUUUUCCUAAUUUAUUAGGCUAUUGUGAGGAUUCAAUGAGAUGGUGAUAAUUGUGACAGAUUAUAUGAACUUUAUAAAAGGUCAGACACUAUUUAAAGUGCUUUGCAAACAUAUCAAUGAGAAGAUGAUAAUAUCAGCCAAUGUUUAUGGCACAAUAAUUGGAAAAAUAAAUGAUUAAAAAAAUCAUUCUGGUCAUUGAUAAUGGAAUAAUUGUAGUGAGACUGACAGAUUGGACCCUGUAAUCAAAAGCAUCAAUUUUAGAUACAAAGAAAGAGUAAAGAAUUGAUAAGGCAUAGAAAAUGUAAGUAGAGUUUAUUCCAAUUAUAUGCAUUAAGACCAUUUUGAGAGACUUCUUUCAUAUGAGUGGAUGUAUUCAUGGUUUAAGAUGAAACUUUGCAGGAAGAAUAUAUCUUUUUAAGUGGAGUAAAAUCCAUUCACUUCUAGAGGUAUAAAUGAAAUGGUUAAGGCUAAAUGAAUCUGUUAGUAUGUCUCAGACACUUGACUCAAACGGUUAUUUUCUCCCUAUUUAAUCAAAAGAGACUAAAAUUAAUUUUGACAGAUCUGGCAAUUAUCUGAUAACCACCAGCCUAUUUUGUCAAAAACCACCCAAUAGCAAGAAAUUUUGAUUAUUAGGAACUUGUCUGAAAAAAAGCCAUGCACCAAGUGUUAAGGGGACUUGAUGAUAAUCUGGGAAUGAAAUUUUGCUCCAAGAGUAGAAGGACCAUUCACAAUUGUCAGGAAAGAUCUUCAAGAGCCAAGGAGAGAAAGUCCCAGGAAAGAUAGAAGGUGGCCUAUCUAGUAAAUCACCUAAAAAGGAAGGGAAAGAAGACAAAGGAAUAGGAACAGAGAUCGUCUCCCCCUAAGUCAUAAUGUAUAAAGACAUUAUUAUUAACAUUUUCACAAUACCUUCACAUUUUAUCAGGCACUUACAACAUAACAAUGAAUUUUGAAGUGGGACCAAGAGGGAAAACAUGAGGGAUGAAGUCCAAGCAGGCAAAAAGCAUUCCAGAUUGCUUGACUCUUAUCAAUGCCAGGUCCGGUUUUCUUCCAACUCCCACAGCUCUGCUAAACCCUCUUGGAAAGGAAAUUGGACCAUGACUUUCUUUUCAUAUUAUUUCUUUCUAUUCUAUGCCCUGGAUUGUUAAAUGCAAUACUUGUUGGCUCCUUCCAACUCCCCACCCAUGGCGUGGUAGUACUAAGGUCAGUGUAUGGGUGGUAAUGGAAUCGAGACAGGGAAUUUCACUGUUUAUAUCUAGGCAGUGUUUUUACUAACUAGAAAGCUCUCCACAAUGUGAAUGAGAUUUUUAAAAUAUGACACACAGUAGUAAUUCAACUGUGUCCAUGAGGAAAUGAGAAUCUAUCAAUAGUUGUGUUUGACAUGUUGUUAGGUGGGGACUCACAUAUUAGCGGAAUGUCAUUCUUUGGUGGUGGACAUUGGACAACUAUUUUAAAAAGUUUUACUGGACUUAAAAGUUGCUUGAGGUAUUAUAGAAUUUCAGUGUAAAAGAGACAUUUUGGGGUUUUGAGAAGUGAUUAUAUCAGGAACUGGGGAUAAACCAUGUACGGCUAUUUGUAAAAUGUAUUUUCUUAAUCAUAAACUAGAAGUUAUAGGUCAACACAUUCCAUGGAAAAGGAUAUUGGGCCCUGAAGGAAAGUUUUAAUACACCUGUCUAUUUGUGCCCAAAACACCAGUUUUGACUGUAUCUCAGUGGUAGAGCACGGGCUUAGCACAGUGUGAGGCCCUAGGUUCAAAUUCCCAGCACACAUAUACACAAAAGCCAUUUUGUUUUGACUCUUUAUUUCAGGUAAGAGAUGCAAAAGAGCUAGGAUUUUCUGUUCCCACAGCUGUAAUAAAUCUAGCCACAUUCAUGUAAAGACUUGUGGCAAUGUCAAUGUUGGUUGAUAUCAGGAUGCUCACCAAGCCUACGCCUUACCAGGUUGAGGGCUGGACAAUGGACUGCAUUCUCUCUCUACUGGUCACAUUUUGUUGGGACCCCUGGUAGAGUUUUCCUAAAUUGCCACCUGAUUGUUGCCUAACAGAUGGCUUAAAAGUAUUUGCUUAUCCAGAGGCAGCUACCAAAAUUUUUUUUAAAUGUUAUUUUUUUGUGCUAGGGAUCGACUGAAGGCCUUGCACAUGCUAGGCAAUUGCUCUGCCACUAUCUUCAUCCCCAAUCCUUUAAAAUGUCUUUCUUUUGUUUUGAGAUAGGGUCUUACUAAGUUGCUUGUUCCUGCCUCAGACUCCCAUGUAGCUGGGAUUACAGGUGUACACCAUGGCACAUUGCCCCCCAGAUCACAAAACCCUGAAGUGAAGAUGGGAAGGGUCCUGAGACAGCGAAGUGCCUAUCUGGUAGAGGAGAGGGAUGCCAUCCCUCAUUGCCACUGAAAAUCCAAAUACUAUUACAAAGAGGGAGGUAAAACAAAAGCAAGCAUGGAACAUGAGCAUUGUUGGAAAAGUGGAAGUUAAGGCUUUCAGAAUGAUCCAAAUCAGUUCUCAACCAUUAAAGAAUGCUGCAUUUAAGCCAAAGCAUGAUUAAGAUCGACAACAGAGGCAGUGUGUCUGUAUUCCAAUCCCCGCUGUCAUCUACUAGCUGUGUGACUUUUAGCAUUGUGUUUAAUCACCUUGUGUCUGUUUCCUCAUCAGUAAAAUGAAGCCCAUAAUGGAACUGAUCAUAAAAGAUAACUUGUAAGAGUUAACAUAAGGAAAGUACUUAGAAAAGGACACAGUGCUUCAACAUAGUAAUCACUGUUAGUUGUUACUAUAAACAACUAGUGCUUUAAGAUUAGGUCUUAAAUUCUACCAGAUCAGUUAUCAGCUGAACAUUACUAAACUGCCUCCUUAUCUAAAGUCAGGUCAGACUUUUGUAAAAUAUGAGGAAUAUAUAUAUAUAUAUAUAUAUAUAUAUAUAUAUAUAUUACUAUUUUCAUCAUUAUUAUUUUGUUACAACAUCAAUUCAUGUGACUUAGUGUUAUUUUUUUUCCUUUUAGGCACAUAAGAAGAGUGGUUAUUUUAAUUCUCCAGUAUCAUUUAAAAAAUUCACACAUGUACUUACUCUGGAAAGCCUGCAAUUGUGUUUACUAAAACAUAUGGAUGUUUACUAUAAAUGCUUCAUUCCUGGGAUUUGCUUCCACAUGUGCCUAUCAGGCAUACUGGCAAUAUUUUAGCCCUAGUAAAGUAAUAGAUGCUACAUAAAUGUGUAUAAUGUGCUGCCUAAGAUAAUUUUCAUCCUAGUUAAUUAUUUGUGAAACAUGCAAAUAUUUAAUUGAAUGUAAAAACUGAUCCUAUACAUAUUUAUUUCCUCUAUCUAUUCUCAGGCUAAAUUCAGUAUGAUUACUACCAGCAUAAUUUCAACUGACUUCUUGUGAAGGAGAUUUCACAGUCACCUGACCCAACAGCCUGAAGCUGUCAUUGUGGAAAGCCCCCAAAAGAAGCUUGCAAAAUCUUUGGAGGAUUUCUUAAAUCUUAUGAAAAAAGGUGGGGAGUGGGAUAGAAAUAAAGUAAAAGGAGAUUUUUCUUCAAAAAGAUUUUGAAAAUGUAGCAUUGGGAACCAAGGAGUGCUUAAUCUAUUGACAUUUAAACUCUUAUUACUCAGAUUUCUUUUUCAUUGUUCAUUUUACAUUAUUAUGUGCUUCAUUUCAACAGAACUUAAAAAUUGCUGAGUAUUCUUAGGCCACAAAAACAGAUGAAAAUUGAGAUGUAAAGAUUUCUAUACUUUAAAAGUAGUUUCAAAAUUGUUUUUUCACAGGGAUCCUAUACUAACAAGGGAUAAAAAUCAAUGCAUUGAGAGAAGCUAGAAUACAAUAUGAUGUGGUUCACUAUUACAAAAUACAUAGAGGAAAGGGACCAGGGGAAGGCAGGAGGAGAGGGAAAGGUGAAAUACUGGGGAAUGAUAUUGGCCAAAUUAUAUUGUUAGAUUGUGUGCAGGUACAAUAUGUAACAACAGAUCCCACCAUUAUGUGUAAUUAUAAUGCACCAAU